AGCGAACGCUGGCGGCAGGCUUAACACAUGCAAGUCGAGCGGGCAUCUUCGGAUGUCAGCGGCAGACGGGUGAGUAACACGUGGGAACGUACCCUUCGGUUCGGAACAACUCUGGGAAUCUGGAGCUAAUACCGGAUACGCCCUUAUGGGGAAAGGUUUACUGCCGAAGGAUCGGCCCGCGUCUGAUUAGCUAGUUGGUGGGGUAACGGCCUACCAAGGCGACGAUCAGUAGCUGGUCUGAGAGGAUGAUCAGCCACACUGGGACUGAGACACGGCCCCGACUCCUACGGGAGGCAGCAGUGGGGAAUAUUGGACAAUGGGCGCAAGCCUGAUCCAGCCAUGCCGCGUGAGUGAUGAAGGCCUUAGGGUUGUAAAGCUCUUUUGUCCGGGACGAUAAUGACGGUACCGGAAGAAUAAGCCCCGGCUAACUUCGUG
rnacentral:rRNA from 1 species